rnacentral:rRNA from 1 species
GUGCCAGCAGCCGCGGUAAUACAGAGGGUGCAAGCGUUGUUCGGAAUCAUUGGGCGUAAAGCGCGUGUAGGCGGCCGCCUCAGUCUGGUGUGAAAGCCCAGGGCUUAACCCUGGAAGUGCACUGGAUACUGGGCGGCUAGAGGAUAUGAGGGGAGAUUGGAAUUCAUGGUGUAGGGGUGAAAUCCGUAGAUAUCAUGAGGAACAUCAGUGGCGAAGGCGAAUCUCUGGCAUAUUUCUGACGCUGAGACGCGAAAGCGUGGGGAGCAAACAGGAUUAGAUACCCUCGUAGUCC